GAUCAAUUAGUUUAUUUAAAACCAGCGUUUUGAAAACGCUUAAAAAGAGAUUUACUCUUAUUGAUCG
rnacentral:tRNA from 1 species